GCACUGCUGAGGAGUCCCACAACAGGAUGAAACGGCCGUCUAGUGU
rnacentral:hammerhead_ribozyme from 1 species